rnacentral:lncRNA from 13 species
AGACACCAAUACAGCACCAGAGAUGGAUAUCAAGCUCCAAUGUUACCUGAAUAUAUUCUCAGGCCUUGUCCCACAAUGCAACCAAAGUGAAAUAAAGCUGAAUUGGCUGAAUGAGGCCAAUACAGUGCUACAGGGAGAGAGAUUUCAAACCGAACGUUCAUCUGCUUGCCUCUCUACGCUGACCAUCCGAGGUGUCAGGAAGACAGACCAUCACAGGAAGUGGCGGUGUCAACUGAUUGAAGGAGAGGUUGUGAAGACGUCCCUCAGCUAUACCACAGAAAUUACAGGUACGUUUGGAACUAUNNNNNNNNNNAACAACACCCUCAUCUCCAAACUCUUCCUCCCUGACCGCCAGGGCACAGAGAAGAUAGCCUGCGCCGUGCUCAGAGAGGGGGUUGAAAUGGCUGUAAAGGAGUGGACCAUCCAGAGAGGUCGUGUUCUACCUGCAGUGGGAUGGUCAGUCCUUCUGCUACUGCUGCUCUGUGCUGUUGGAGGGGGCGUGUAUUGGAAGAGGCAGGGCAAGGGAAGUGCUGCUCAAGGAGAAGAACAGCAGACAACUGUUGCAAUGGUAAGGAUUCAAUAAAACACAACUAUGUAAUUCACUAACAAGUGAAGCCCAAUUGAGUAUGCCUACAACGUCACAUCAAAUUUGACUAAAUGUCUUCUAAUCCUUUCACCAUGUUGGUGAACUAAAUUCAACUGGUUUUACACAUUCCUUCUUUUCUUCGCAGACUCAUCUCUAUGAGGAGAUUCAAGGUCGACCAAUUCAACCUUCCGGAGUAACCAACAACAGUUUCUAUGAUCUUCUGCAGGCUGGGAACUGAGUGUAAUGUCAUGUCCUCUAUCUUUAGGCUAUUAGUUGAGUUUUAAAUCUAAUUUGACUACUUUGUACUUGGCAUUGUUUUGUGGUUUGGAUUUCCCUUGAUAUUUUGGAACAUUAUAAGUGUCACCAUGACAUCAAGUCUAUGCAGGUUGUUUUUUAUGGUGGAAAUAAAUUCAUAAAAAGAAAAUAACCUCUAUAGAAUAUCACCAGUUACCACAGUUAAAAACCCCGACAUAAGUUGGUUACAGGAACACAUUCAGUAUGACUCCUCAGUGUGGGGGGUUGAUGGCUAAGUCAUCCCACCUCCUGUCUUGAACAUCACUCUGCUGACUUUCACAUCCCACAUGAAACCUGGUAGCUUCUCUUCAGCAGUGUAAAACUCUGUAGAUGUAUGGGACUGAGACAAGACACAUCCCACAUGAAACCUGGUAGCUUCUCUUCAGCAGUGUAAAACUCUGUAGAUGUAUGGGACUGAGACAAGGCACAUAACACAUGAGAGUGAACAGAUAAGUGUGUUUAUUUAAUACAGGAUGGCAGUGUGUGAGCAUUAGCAAUACAAGUAAAAACCCCAGAACAGCAUGUCUCUCUGUCUGGAACAGCUCCCAACUACACAUCAUUUGGUGUAGAAAAGCGUCAGCAAAAGUUGGUCCACCAUGGGGUCACAAAUAAAGGAAUAAGUCCAAUCAAAUCAAGCUAAAUACAAUUGGUCACCUCAUCCAUUUGAUGAUUUCACAACUAAGAUUGUUAUUGUGUAAUACUAUGUAGGCUAUACCAGGGGUUGAAAGAUAAGAUUGUUAUUGUGUAAUACUAUGUAGGCUAUACCAGGGGUUGAAAGAUAAGAGUGUUAUUGUGUAAUACUAUGUAGGCUAUACCAGGGGUUGAAAGAUAAGAUUGUUAUUGUGUAAUACUAUGUAGGCUUUCCAGGGGUUGAAAGAUAAGAGUGUUAUUGUGUAAUACUAUGUAGGCUAUACCAGGGGUUGAAAGAUAAGAGUGUUAUUGUGUAAUACUAUGUAGGCUAUACCAGGGGUUGAAAGAUAAGAGUGUUAUUGUGUAAUACUAUGUAGGCUAUACCAGGGGUUGAAAGAUAAGAGUGUUAUUGUGUAAUACUAUGUAGGCUUUCCAGGGGUUGAAAGAUAAGAGUGUUAUUGUGUAAUACUAUGUAGGCUAUACCAGGGGUUGAAAGAUAAGAGUGUUAUUGUGUAAUACUAUGUAGGCUAUACCAGGGGUUGAAAGAUAAGNNNNNNNNNNAGUGUGAAGUUCCUUAUCAAGUUAGUCUCUCAUCUCAGAGUCCAAUCUCAGUUCUCCAAGGCCUAGUUUCUAUAUGGGUCAUGAAUACACAUUUGCGGGGAAACAU